AUAGCUGCAGGUAUGAUGCAAGUCUGUGCAUGUCUGGAGACUAUGUCUAACCAAGGAUUUUCUUAGUGAAGUAGUAAAACUGAACUCUGUGGAAUUUUGAGAAAUAAUUCGCUCAGCGGCCAGCCACUGACACGUAUAGAGGAGCUUUGUGCAAGCACCAAUUAUCAAAAGGCUGUGCUUUCAUCCACACCAUUAAUUUCUGAAGGCAGAAGAGAGCAUGAUGAUGAAAGUGUCUUACAAGAUUAACAUCUCCAGUAUCACAGCUUUAAAGAAGUAGGACUGGAAUCUGAAACCAUAACUGCCUGAUCCAAAACUUAUAAAUAUUCAUAUAGAGCUGACUACUGGUGAGGCUAAAGCAUCUGAGGAGACAAAGGGAGGGCUUAUAGAAGGAGACCUUCGGAAUUCCUGCCAUGGCACAGUGGGUUAAGAAUCCAACCACAGUGGCUUGGUUACUUUUAAUCCUAGCCCAGCACAGUGGGUUAAGGUAUCUGGCAUUGCUGCAGCUGUAGCAGUAGGCUACAGCUGUGGCUAGAAUACAAUCCCUGGCCCGGGUACUUCCAUAUGCCUCAGAGCCCAGAGCCCCUGUGUUUGGAGUUGGCUGGACUGUGGAGACUUUGGAAAGGUCCUGCUGCCAGGAGUUAAGCACGAAAUCUUGGAACUGAAUUUUACAGAAUUACUUCUGAACCAGUAUGGAACAUUUUAUGAACCUACACAAAGCUUCUGAUUCCUGGAACGGCCUCGCUGUGGUGAUUUUCCUGCAUGGAUCUGGAGAUACAGAGCUUGGAUGGGCAAGAAGCCUUUGCAGUUUGCUGUCCUUGGAAGCCAAAAACUGCUCUCCUUUGUCCUGUCAUUUCUUUACAAACAUUUUGUCCUUUAUUGAAGAUACUAUAUAAGACCUCAGUUCUAAGCUGAGGCUUUGAGCCACUCUUUGUUUUGGGUUUCUCCUGCUUGAUGUGCACUGCAGGGGUUCAUAAACGCUUUUUCUCUUAAUAUGUCUUUUUUUUUUUGGCCACCCCGUGGCAGAUGGAAUUCCCCAGGGCGGGGGAUCAGAUCCAAGCUGCAGUUGCAACCUACGCUGCAGCUGUGGCAAUGCCAUAUGCUUUAACCCACUGUGCAGGGCCUGGGAUUGAAUCUGUGUCCUGGUGCUUAAAAGACACGGCCAAUCAUGUUGUGCCAUAGUGGGACUCUAAUAUGUCAUCAUCUUAGAGCCUCAGCUGACAACUGAAGAUGGGUAGAAAGUUUUGCCUCCCUCAUUCAAGUUGUAUAUCCUCCCUGCAGUAUGCAGGAAAAAGUUAACUCUCUCCGUGGCUGGCAAUUACCCUGGGACUGGCCACCCCCAAGGAUUCAGCUACCUAUUGUUGAUUCUGAACUUUUAGGGUCAGCCUCCCUGGUAGAAUGUCUCCCCUCUAAUAUGUUGAACACUGGAAUUUUUAAAUAGAACCCCAAGAUCUAGGCAUUUUAAAAACUCUCAACUAAAAAAAAAAAAAAAAAAAAUUAGAACUUAUUUUACAUAGCAGUAAUUUUUUUUUUUAUCUUUUUAGGACAAUACCUGUGGCAUAUGGAAGUUCCCAGGCUAGGGGUCGACUUGGAGCUGUAGCUGCUGGCCUGCAUCACAGCCACAGCAACACCAGAUCCGAACCGCGUCUAUGAACUAUACCACAGCUCAUGGCAACGCCGGAUCCUUUAACUCAUUGAGUGAGGCCAGGGAUCAAACCUUCGUCCUCAUGGAUUCUAGCCAGAUUUGUUUCCACUGAGCCACGACUAGAACUCCCACAGUAAUGUGUUUUUGUGUGAAGAAACACAAAAGCAUUUGCUUCAUGUCACAACCCACCCUAUAGCUAUAUCUUCUUUUCUACUGGAUGAUCUUUUUCCCAUGAAAGUUACAUUUGAAAUGUUACAUGUGUUAUUAGAUAGCUUCUAAAUUUUCUCUACUUGAAAACUCAGUGACAUUACAUAGGAAGGCUACAAUCAUAUUUAAAUAUGAUUAGAGUUCAUUGUACAUUAAACCUGGGCAAGAAAAAUCUGAUUUUGACUUAAUAUUCUUACUGUGUAACAGAAAGUACAGAUUCUAGUCCCUUAGUGAAUCACCCCCAUUCUUUAUCAAUUGUGUUGUAGACCUAAUGAAUGACUGUAGUUUCUCUUGAGGAAAAUUAUAGCAAAAGUGUUUUUUGAGUUUUUUUACAUGUUUUCUGUUUUUGUUUUUUGGGUUUUUUUUUUUUUUGCAAUAAAACCUAAACUUACACACUUUUGAAAAGGAUUGAAAAAUUUAGUGUUCUAGCUAACAUUUACAGGGAAAGAUAAGUUUAUUCCAGUCCCCUUGGAACUGAAUAUGAAUAUAUAGUACCGCACCCCCAGCUAGGCCAGAUCCUAUCUUUCAAGAGGAUUGGAGAUCUUUUCAUGAGAAAAAGAAACACAUGGAAGAGAGAUGUGAAUUUUACCUGCACUGGCAAAAUCUUAUAAUCCUUCUGGAAUGAUGCUGAGGGGGAAAGGCCACACACUCUUUUGGGACUACUCCCUAUAUUUACAUCAGCUUUUCUUUCUCCUAGUAUUAUAAGACAGCAAUAAGAAUAGAUCAAUAAUAUGUAUAAAUCGAUGUAAUAAGAGCUGUAUUAAAUAAAGUUCUGUUGUA
rnacentral:lncRNA from 1 species